rfam:Triticum aestivum genome assembly, contig: Triticum_aestivum_CS42_TGACv1_scaffold_594836_7BS
UUAAUACUCUGUCCGUCGGAAAUACUUGUCAUUGAAAAAGAUGUAUCUAGAUAUAUUUUAAUUCAAGAUACAUCCAUUUUCAUCCAUUUUGAUGACAAGUAUUUCCGGAUGGAGGGAGUACAAA